CGCCUCUAGGCAGUAGGGGGCGGGACGUAUCGAGGGGCAACCGUCGUCGCGAGGGCACAGAGAGGCCAUGCCCCACACCGGCCCUACUUUGUACUCUCCUUGAGUGUUUUUGCCUGGCUGGAAUCUUGACAAUGCUUCUUGCUUGCUUGGUUGGAGAAUGGAGGGGCAGCACACGAGAGUCAAAUAUAAAGUGAAAGGGCUCCGGCAGGGGAGAAUCUAAUGCUUCACCUAGGGUCUCUCCAAGCAACAGGAGGUGGCUGCAAAGAAACAACCAAGACACCCCAAAAUGUCACUCGCCUUUCUGACUCGUAUCGCUGUC